GGAUGUGAGAACGAUCUGGCUGUGACAUCUGUCACCCCAGUGAUCACCAGGGCUGAUUCAGCUGACCUGGUUGGGUGGGUGGGUGGGGGGGUGUGGGUGGAUGGGUGUCCCCUUCUUCCCUCACCACUCCACGUGUGUCCCUCCCGAAGCUUUGCGCUCAGUGGAAGAGGACGACCACCCCUGAGAGAGGAGGACCAUCCCCUCAGUCAAGGGUCUCCCCU
rnacentral:snRNA from 1 species